CCGAUUCAUGCUGGUUCUGAUUAGCUAGCCAAUUAAUGCUGGCUCUGAUUUGCUAGCUGAUUAAUUCUAGCUCUGAUUGGCUGUCUGAUUAAUGCUGGCUCUGAUUGGCUAUCCGAUUCAUGCUGGCUCUGACUGGCUAUCCGAUUCAUGCUGGUUCUGAUUAGCUAGCCAAUUAAUGCUCUCUCUGAUUGGCUAGCUGAUUCAUGGUGGCUGAUUUGCUAGCUGAUUAAUGCUGGUUCUGUUUGGCUAGCUUAUUGCUGGGACUGAUUGGCUAUCUGAUCGACGCUGGCUCCUAUUGGCUAGCUGAUCGAUGAAAAGGUCCAGAGAGCAGAGAGACGCUGCUGGUUCUGGUUUAUAACUUCGCUGCAUUUGAUCUGAACUGAUGACUAGAGGAACCGUUGACCUCUGACCCCCUGGACAGGUCACAUGAUCACUAACAGCAUUCUGGGUCAGGAACAUUCAGAGACUCACCUGGCAGGAAAUAACCUUCAAAAUGAUAUAAAAGACCCGCACAGACGAUGA